GGUGACGAUGAAGACGGUGACCGUCUAGUGUAUGCAAGUCCUGGAGAAAUUCCUAAAGCAAGUCCUGGAUCAGAUAAAUCCACAGGAGAUAAUGAAGGUGGAACAUUGGUAAUCAUCAUAGCUGCCGUUAGCGUCAUAGUUCUGGCUAUUGGAGGUAUUGUAGCUAUUGUCCUCCUCAGACGCUACUUGCAAAGCCGAGAACAGGGGUAAGACUGAUUUAGCUUUGCUUGCAAGCAAUUUCAAAUGACCUAUGUGCCAGAUAAACAUAUUUUCAAGAAAUGUUAUUAAAGACUCAAAGCAUGCUGGGUUGAAUAUAG